rnacentral:pre_miRNA from 1 species
UGGACAGAUUAUUAUAUUCGACUGUAUUCACGGCGUGAAACAUGUGAUUACACUGUUUUUAAAACGGAAAGUGAAUCAAUUAACAUAAUAGACUCCU